rnacentral:rRNA from 1 species
GUUGUAAUCUGUAGAGGGUGUUUCGGGUGCGGCUCUGGUUUAAGUUCCUUGGAACAGGGCGUCAUAGAGGGUGAGAACCCCGUCUGCAACCAGUGGCUUAGCCUAUGUGAAACCCCUUCGACGAGUCGAGUUGUUUGGGAAUGCAGCUCCAAAUGGGUGGUAAAUUUCAUCUAAAGCUAAAUAUUGGCCGGAGACCGAUAGCGCACAAGUAGAGUGAUCGAAAGAUGAAAAGCACUUUGGAAAGAGAGUUAAAUAGUACGUGAAAUUGUUGAAAGGGAAGCGCUUGCGACCAGACCUGCGCGUAGGUGAUUAGUUAGUAAAGUUACUAGUGCACUCACCUAUAGCCAGGCCAGCAUCGGUUUCGGCGGCGGGACAAAAGCGUGGAGAAUGUAACUCUCUCUUUGGGGGAGUACUUAUAGCUCGUCAUGAAAUGCCGCCAGCUGAGACCGAGGACCGCGCUUUUUAGCUAGGAUGCUGGCAUAAUGGUUGCAAGCGACCCGUCUUGAAACACGGACCAAGGAGUCUAACAUCUAUGCGAGUGUUUGGGUGUCAAACCCAGGCGCGGAAUGAAAGUGAACGGAGGUGGGAACCCUUAAAAGGGCUGCACCAUCGACCGAUCCGGAUGUCUUCGGAUGGAUUUGAGUAUGAGCAUAGCUGUUGGGACCCGAAAGAUGGUGAACUAUGCCUGAACAGGGUGAAGCCAGAGGAAACUCUGGUGGAAGCUCGCAGCGGUUCU